rnacentral:rRNA from 1 species
AUUCUGGCUGAACCCGCCAGAGGAGGCGGCUAUCCGGGUCAGGCUAAGCCAUGCGAGUCGUGAGGGGAAAGCCCUCGGCGCACUGCUGAGUAAUACCACCUCAACCUACCCUACGGUGGGGGAUAAUCCCGGGAAACUGGGGCUAAUACCCCAUAGGAGAGGGAUUCUGGAAGGACCCUCUCCGAAAGCUAUUAGCAGCUUAAAGCUGCUAAUAGCGCCGUAGGAUGGGAGGUGGUCCUAUCAGGUAGUUGGGGGUGUAACGGACCCCCAAGCCUAAGACGGGUAGGGGCCGUGAGAGCGGGAGCCCCCAGAUGGGCUCUGAGACAUGAGCCCAGGGCCUACGGGCCGCAGCAGGCGCGAAACCUUCCCAAUGCGCUAACGCGCGAGGAGGUGACCCGGAGUGCCCUGGCUCUGCCAGGGCUUUUGCCCAGUGUUAGAAGGCUGGGCGAAUAAGGGGUGGGUAAGACCGGUGGCAGCCGCCACGGUAAUACCGGCGCCCCAAGUCGACUCCGCGAUUAUUGGGCCUAAAGCGCCCGUAGCCGGGCUGGUAAGUCUCUCGUUAAAUCCCAUAGUAAACUAUGGGACUGCGAGAGAUACUGCCAGCCUUGGGGCCGGGAGAGGCCGGCAGUACUCCCAGGGUAGGGGUGAAAUCCUUUAAUCCUGGGGGGACUACCAGUGGCGAAGGCGGCCGGCUAGAACGGUCCCGACGGUGAGGGGCGAAAGCUGGGGGAGCAAAAGGGAUUAGAUACCCCUGUAGUCCCAGCCGUAAACGUUGCCCGCUAGCUAUCGGAGUGGCUUAGAGCCACUCCGGUGGCGAAGGGAAGCCGUUAAGCGGGUCGCCUGGGGAGUACACCCGAAAGGGUGAAACUUAAGGGUAUUGGCGGGGGGGCACACAAGGGGUGGGUUGUGCGGUUUAAUUGGAUUCGACACCGGGAAUCUUACCCGGGGAGACGGCAGGAUGAAGGUCAGGCUGAAGACCUUACCAGACGAGCCGAGAGGUGGUGCAUGGCUACCGUCAGCUCGUACCGUGAGGCGUGCCGUUAAGUCGGUUAACGAGCGAGACCCGUGCCUCAUGUUGCUACUCGCAGCUUCGGUUGCGAGGCACUCAUGGGGGACUGCCCGCGAUAAGCGGGAGGAAGGUACGGGCGACGGUAAGUCCGUAUGCCCCGAAUCCCCGGGGCCACACGCGCAACACAAUGGGUGCUACAAAGGGAUGCCACCCCGAAAGGGGGAGCAAAUCCCCUAAAAGCGCCCCUAGUUCGGAUCGAGGGUUGUAACUCGCCCUCGUGAAGCUGGAAUCCCUAGUAGGCGGGGUUUAGCAAACCUCGCCGAAUACGUCCCUGCCCCUUGCUCACACUGCCCGUCACGCCAACCGAGUGGAGCUCCUGUGAGGGCUGAAAGGCUCGAACAGGAGCUCCGCGAGGGGGGCGAAGUCGUCACAAGGUAGCCGUGCGGGAACGCGCGGCUGGAUCACUCAGC